rnacentral:rRNA from 1 species
UACGUAGGGGGCAAGCGUUGUCCGGAAUCAUUGGGCGUAAAGGGCGCGUAGGCGGCUAUAUAAGUCUGAUGUGAAAGUGCGGUGCUUAACACCGUAAAGCAUUGGAAACUGUAUGGCUUGAGGACAGGAGAGGAAAGUGGAAUUCCACGUGUAGCGGUGAAAUGCGUAGAGAUGUGGAGGAACACCGGUGGCGAAGGCGACUUUCUGGACUGUAACUGAUGCUGAGGCGCGAAAGCGUGGGGAUCAAACAGG